rnacentral:rRNA from 1 species
GGCCAGCCGCCGCGGUAAUACCGGCAGCCCGAGUGAUGGCCGAUAUUAUUGGGCCUAAAGCGUCCGUAGCUGGCCGAACAAGUCCGUCGGGAAAUCCACGUGCUUAACACGUGGGCGACCGGCGGAAACUGUUCGGCUUGGGGCCGGAGGACCCGAGGGGUACGUCCGGGGUAGGAGUGAAAUCCUGUAAUCCUGGACGGACCACCGGUGGCGAAAGCGCCUCAGGAGAACGGAUCCGACAGUGAGGGACGAAAGCUAGGGUCUCGAACCGGAUUAGAUACCCUAGUAGUCC